rnacentral:rRNA from 1 species
CUGUGAGCUCGAUGAGUAGGGCGGGACACGUGGUAUCCUGUCUGAAUAUGGGGGGACCAUCCUCCAAGGCUAAAUACUCCUGACUGACCGAUAGUGAACCAGUACCGUGAGGGAAAGGCGAAAAGAACCCCGGCGAGGGGAGUGAAAAAGAACCUGAAACCGUGUACGUACAAGCAGUGGGAGCACGCUUCGGCGUGUGACUGCGUACCUUUUGUAUAAUGGGUCAGCGACUUAUAUUCUGUAGCAAGGUUAACCGAAUAGGGGAGCCGAAGGGAAACCGAGUCUUAACUGGGCGUUAAGUUGCAGGGUAUAGACCCGAAACCCGGUGAUCUAGCCAUGGGCAGGUUGAAGGUUGGGUAACACUAACUGGAGGACCGAACCGACUAAUGUUGAAAAAUUAGCGGAUGACUUGUGGCUGGGGGUGAAAGGCCAAUCAAACCGGGAGAUAGCUGGUUCUCCCCGAAAGCUAUUUAGGUAGCGCCUCGUGAAUUCAUCUCCGGGGGUAGAGCACUGUUUCGGCAAGGGGGUCAUCCCGACUUACCAACCCGAUGCAAACUGCGAAUACCGGAGAAUGUUAUCACGGGAGACACACGGCGGGUGCUAACGUCCGUCGUGAAGAGGGAAACAACCCAGACCGCCAGCUAAGGUCCCAAAGUCAUGGUUAAGUGGGAAACGAUGUGGGAAGGCCCAGACAGCCAGGAUGUUGGCUUAGAAGCAGCCAUCAUUUAAAGAAAGCGUAAUAGCUCACUGGUCGAGUCGGCCUGCGCGGAAGAUGUAACGGGGCUAAACCAUGCACCGAAGCUGCGGCAGCGAC